CACUAGCUCCUACUCCCCAAAGCAUUUAUUAUAUCCUCCCCUAGCUAGCUACUUCAUCCCACAAAUAGUUUUACAGCUUCAUCUUCUUCUUUUUUUCCUCUAAAACAAUGGAAAUGGCUGGGAAAAUUGCAUGUUUUGUGUCAAAAGUCUUCAUUAUUUCUUUCUUAAAUUUCGUGUAUAGUCUAACACCGUCAUUAUAAUAAAAAUGAGAGGAUUAUCCACUUGUUCUUUCCAAACUAACUGCAUUACUAUUGAUUUCGGCCUAAUUUGCUCUAAUGUUUGUUCAACAAUCACGUGGGACCACAUUGUGAGAUGGACUCAAACAAACCAUUAAAUAGAGCAAUGGGGUUAAAACUGCGAGGGUCCAGUAAGGCUGAUAAAAUAAGCCAAUUUUACCCCGCACAAUUUGGAAGUAGUGCAAUAUUGAAGAGAAAAAUAAGAUGUGUUCGUCUAGAAUCCUACUUAUGGUUCCAUUUGUAUUUUGUAUCAACUUGUUGUCUCUUUUUUUCCUUUUUGUAUGUCCCUCGAACUCAUAGUCCAGUACUUGUGUAAUAAAUUGGCUGUUGUAUUAUGGUUCUUACUUAUGAAUCCAUAUAUCUAUCCUUUUAACUUU